CCUACGGGAGGCUGCAGUGAGGAAUAUUGGUCAAUGGGCGCGAGCCUGAACCAGCCAAGUAGCGUGAAGGAUGACUGCCCUACGGGUUGUAAACUUCUUUUAUAAAGGAAUAAAGUGAGGCACGUGUGCCUUUUUGUAUGUACUUUAUGAAUAAGGAUAGGCUAAAUCCGUGCCAGCAGCCGCGGUAAUACGGAGGAUCCGAGCGUUAUCCGGAUUUAUUGGGUUUAAAGGGAGCGUAGAUGGGUUGUUAAGUCAGUUGUGAAAGUUUGCGGCUCAACCGUAAAAUUGCAAUUGAUACUGGCAGCCUUGAGUGCAGAUGAGGUAGGCGGAAUUCGUGGUGUAGCGGUGAAAUGCAUAGAUAUCACGAAGAACUCCGAUUGCGAAGGCAGCUUACGAAACUGCCACUGACAUUGAUGCUCGAAAGUGUGGGUAUCAAACAGGAUUAGAUACCCGAGUAGUC
rnacentral:rRNA from 1 species